AGAGUUUGAUCCUGGCUCAGGAUUAACGCUGGCGGCGUGCCUAACACAUGCAAGUCGAACGAGGGGCAACCCCUAGUGGCAGACGGGUGAGUAACACGUGGUCAACCUACCGUUUGUGGGGAUAACCAGCCGAAAGGUUGGCUAAUACCGCAUACGUCGCGGCCGGCAUCGGCCGUUGAUAAAAGGAGCAAUUCGCAAGA
rnacentral:rRNA from 1 species